UGCCCCCCUGGCAUUGGGCAAAGAGACACCUCAUUGGUGGUGUUAUUCUUGUAUCAGUCAGGGGCAGAGUAGACAGCAGUCCUUUGUUCAUCCUAGCUUGAUGCCUGGUUGGUGGCCAGAGCUGUUUCAUGCUUAGGACACAUGA
rfam:Cavia porcellus supercont2_25 genomic scaffold, whole genome shotgun sequence.